rnacentral:rRNA from 1 species
CCCUUAGAUGUUCUGGGCCGCACGCGCGCUACACUGACGAAUGCAACGAGCUUAUAACCUUGGCCGAAAGGUCUGGGUAAUCUCCAAAUUUCGUCGUGAUGGGGAUAGAUUAUUGCAAUUAUUAAUCUUCAACGAGGAAUGCCUAGUAAGCGCAAGUCAUCAGCUUGCGUUGAUUACGUCCCUGCCCUUUGUACACACCGCCCGUCGCUCCUACCGAUUGAAUGGUCCGGUGAAGCGUUCGGACCGUGGCCUUUGGACGGGUCGCCGUCUGUUGGCUGCGGGAAGUUCGUUAAACCUUAUCAUUUAGAGGAAGGAGAAGUCGUAACA